rnacentral:RNase_P_RNA from 1 species
GCAGUUAAUCGGAUAAUCGCUGGCCGUAAAAGGCGAGAGGAAAGUCCGGGCAGCAUAGGAUAAGACAGCCGCUAACGGCGGCCGGGGGCAACCUUAGGGAAAGUGCCACAGAAACUAAUACCGCCUUCACUAUCCCGACUCUUCGGAGCUCGCGAAGGUAAGGGUGAAACGAGUAGUGUAAGAGACUACAGCGACGCAUGGUAACAUGCGGAGGGGGUAAACCCUGUCUGCUGCAAGGAGAUGUGCAUAAAGGGCGAUCCGUCCGCAUGUCGAUACCCGCUAGAGCCGAUCGGCAACGUUCGGCGUAGAUAGAUGAUUAUCACGGAUUUAUU